UUAAUGAGUCCAAAUAUUUCGAUUACUAGAGUCUAGACUAGAGUAGAGAGUUUCAUAAUGUUCUUCAGCCUCGCAAAUACAAGUACUCAUUCACCCAAAUUGUUAAGAACCCGUCCAUCGUCUUAAUCAUAACCGUACGCUAGAGAUGUCAACUCAACCACUGAUCUACUCUCUAAAUCAACGGCUCAUAUAUCUCUUAUUUAAUUCAUCUCCAAUCUCAUUUUCCGAACAGAAUUUCAGAUGAGCGAAAUACCGCUGUGGAAAAACCCUGGGAGAGCAUGAAUAAACCUAGGGUAAUGGAGACAGUCACCAAAGAUGACAAAACCCUAGAUCAAAUCAACAAGCUGCCGGAGUCACUACUGGUUCAGAUUAUCUCUCUUUUGCCGAUAAAGGAUGCUGUUCAAACAUCUCUUUGUCUCAAAAAGGUGGCAAUACCUCUGGACUUCUAUUGAUAAUCUUUCUUUGAUUUGUAAAGGUGUGCCGGAUUUAGAAUUAGAAAAAUUCGUAUCCUUCGUAGACUACGCAUUUGCUCAACGUACUUGUUCAAAAAUCAGAAAAUUCCAUCUCGUAUUCUGUAAAAUUGAAUAUCAGACAAUGGCUCAGUUAUCUUAUUUAAAAUGAAGUCGAAGAUGUAAAAUUGAAUUCAAUUUUUGUUAACAUCUGCACAUCGCCUCAAGUGUUCUACACUUGCUCGUCAUUGAGAACAUUAGCUUUGUUUAACUGUGCAUUUGAUAAAUGAGCUGUUAUUUCGUGGAAAUCUCUAAAGACUGUCAAGUUUAACACAGUGUUGUUAAAGGAUGAAGAGAUUGUAAAAUUACUGUCAGGUUGUCCUGCUUUGGAAACUCUGGAAUUGUCGUGUUUCUAUACUUUUUGGCGUUUGGAAAUUAAUAAUCCAAAUUUAAAGAGACUAAAAUUGAAAGAUAAUUGGCCGGUGUAUGAAGAGGGUGAUAAUACAUUGGAAAUUGUUGCACCAUAUCUUCAACACUUGGAGAUCUAUGGAGAUAUUGAUGAUGUUAAGUGAAGGCUAGUAAAUGUAUCAUUUUUGGUCAGUGUUGAGCUUACUUUUGAUAUUACAUGUGUGAGUAACCUCCAGGAUCAUUUUGUAUAUGUUGAGGAUGACAGUUGUCGUGAUUAUCAUCAUGUUUUUUGGACCCUCGUUCAAGAUUAUCUUUGAAAAUUGAGACAUGUGAGAGAGCUAACAAUCGGAACUUGGUUUGCAGAGGUCUUGUUCAUGCUGCAGCUAGAUGGAGUGCAGCUUCCAGAAUUGAAAUGCAAAUGUCUAACGAUAAAGUUUCAUAUAACAAAGUUCAAUUUGUAUGGAGUUGCUAGCCUCUUGCAGGUCUCGUCUCACGUGGAGACUCUCAACAUAGACAUGGAAUCUUACUGUUAUGGAUGCUUGGUGUAUCAUGAGGAGUUUGUUUGUUGCACUCUAAACAUUGUGCCUGUGCCUGAAAUUUUCUUCCAACUUUUGGUGGACCUGUCCAAAAACCAUAUCUUCUGAUAAUUAGGCUCAUUAAAUGUUGUAUCUUGCGACCUUUGCCAAAUAGCAUUAAAGUUCUAUGAAUGGAGAUGAGCCUUCUAUCUAAAUCAACCUUCUCCAGGUCUAGCAUGUAUUCUCUGUUCGUGAAGGAGGAUUUUGAGGUUCCUGAAGUUCAGUGCUAUCGUGCAGAACACUCUUUCUGUUUGGUCCUCUCUGCGUAAUCCCUUCACUGCAGAUAUGACUACCACACAUUAAGACAAGUUCUGGUGAUGAUCAUUCUUCUUAUUUGAUGUUGAACCUUUUUCUUUUUGUUGGUUUUGUACUUCUGCCCUCUUUCUUGAUUUUACUUGAAUUGUUUGAUGAGCUUUUUAUUGAUCCUUUUCAUAUAUUUGACCCUUUCAUUCUGAUCUUGUUGGGUUUUUUAUUGAUCUUUACUUGAUUGAAUUCAUUUGUUUGAGUAGAAGGAACUGAUUUCCAUCUCUCCUUUCUUUUUGGAAGAGUCGUAAUGGCAUUUCAUAUGCGAGCUGCACUAUAUUGUUCUUUGCUCUAUUUUGCUGUGCUUUCUGGUUUUGGCAGUUGCCCAUUUGGUAAUAUUUCAUCAAUUAUGAUGAACCAUAGCAAUUUGGUAAUGUUUCAAUGGCAUAGAAAUCAAACAAGAAUUGCUUUUUCUCUGUUUA